GAACGCUAGCGGGAGGCCUAACACAUGCAAGCCGAGCGGUAGAGUCUCUUCGGAGACUUGAGAGCGGCGCACGGGUGCGGAACACGUGUGCAACCUGCCUUUAUCUGGGGGAUAGCCUUUCGAAAGGAAGAUUAAUACCCCAUAAUAUAUUGAGUGGCAUCACUUGAUAUUGAAAACUCCGGUGGAUAGAGAUGGGCACGCGCAAGAUUAGAUAGUUGGUGAGGUAACGGCUCACCAAGUCAGCGAUCUUUAGGGGGCCUGAGAGGGUGAUCCCCCACACUGGUACUGAGACACGGACCAGACUCCUACGGGAGGCAGCAGUGAGGAAUAUUGGACAAUGGGUGAGAGCCUGAUCCAGCCAUCCCGCGUGAAGGACGACGGCCCUAUGGGUUGUAAACUUCUUUUGUAUAGGGAUAAACCUAGAUACGUGUAUCUAGCUGAAGGUACUAUACGAAUAAGCACCGGCUAACUCCGUGCCAGCAGCCGCGGUAAUACGGAGGGUGCAAGCGUUAUCCGGAUUUAUUGGGUUUAAAGGGUCCGUAGGCUGAUUUGUAAGUCAGUGGUGAAAUCUCACAGCUUAACUGUGAAACUGCCAUUGAUACUGCAAGUCUUGAGUGUUGUUGAAGUAGCUGGAAUAAGUAGUGUAGCGGUGAAAUGCAUAGAUAUUACUUAGAACACCAAUUGCGAAGGCAGGUUACUAAGCAACAACUGACGCUGAUGGACGAAAGCGUGGGGAGCGAACAGGAUUAGAUACCCUGGUAGUCCACGCCGUAAACGAUGCUAACUCGUUUUUGGGUUUUCGGAUUCAGAGACUAAGCGAAAGUGAUAAGUUAGCCACCUGGGGAGUACGAACGCAAGUUUGAAACUCAAAGGAAUUGACGGGGGCCCGCACAAGCGGUGGAUUAUGUGGUUUAAUUCGAUGAUACGCGAGGAACCUUACCAAGGCUUAAAUGGGAAAUGACAGGUUUAGAAAUAGACUUUUCUUCGGACAUUUUUCAAGGUGCUGCAUGGUUGUCGUCAGCUCGUGCCGUGAGGUGUUAGGUUAAGUCCUGCAACGAGCGCAACCCCUGUCACUAGUUGCCAUCAUUAAGUUAGGGACUCUAGUGAGACUGCCUACGCAAGUAGAGAGGAAGGUGGGGAUGACGUCAAAUCAUCACGGCCCUUACGCCUUGGGCCACACACGUAAUACAAUGGCCGGUACAGAGGGCAGCUACACAGUGAUGUGAUGCAAAUCUCGAAAGCCGGUCUCAGUUCGGAUUGGAGUCUGCAACUCGACUCUAUGAAGCUGGAAUCGCUAGUAAUCGCGCAUCAGCCAUGGCGCGGUGAAUACGUUCCCGGGCCCUGUACACACCGCCCGUCAAGCCAUGGAAGUCUGGGGUACCUGAAGUCGGUGACCGUAACAGGAGCUGCCUAGGGUAAAACAGGUAACUAGG
rnacentral:rRNA from 1 species